UGGUGGUAAUUUCCACGACCCAGGUUAGGGCUAUAAAAUGGUCUGUCAAGCCUCAGUCUACAUCCAUCAAUAAACCUUAUGGCACAGACGCAUCUUUUCAUCUGAAGACCUUGACAAUCAGUGCAGUUAAGUCUAACCUACAAAACCUGCAAGAAAAGACUUAGAAAAUGGGUCAAAGUCAUACAGUUGAAGUGGACCAUGAAUCGCGACAACGGGCAGACGUGGCAGAAGCAGAAAAGAGAAGAUUUGAGCAGGAAUGCCUUCGGCUCAAGGGGGAGAAAGCACGAAUGGAAACCGAACAACGGAUGGACAAAGAACAACGAGAGGYGCUGGAGAGGCAGAGAAAAAUACAACUUCAAUCCCAAAGAAAGCAAGAAGAAGAUGAAAGGACCAGGAUACAUGCAGAACUGAAAGCAUCAAAAUAAAGAGAUGAAACUGAGGGAGAAAAGUAGAUGAUUAAACUUUAGAAAAUACAUUGAUGAGUAGACUACUAAAGAAUAUUGUUAAUCGAUGAAAACAUUACUCUGAACAUGGCAGCAGCUAAAAGUCACMUUAAAUUACUGUAACUAUAAGGAGUAGUCUUUCUAUAUUCUAACAUAUUUUAAAGUAAAAGCGAUCAAUUUUUUUGUUUGUUUUGUGAUAUCUCCCUUCAAAGUAUACAUGAAAGAAAAAAACGAGGAAAUGUGACAACCGAAUUACCACAGCCAGUGGAUGAGGCGAAGGCUGAAAAAAGAAAUUUUAAUUGCAUAGAACAAUUCCCGGAGAACAAAGCAGAGUCAGAAAGAAACCUCAUUCAGGACGAAUUGGAAUGAGUCCAGAUGGAGAAAGUAAGAUGGCAGAACAACWGAAGCAGGACCAAGGCAAGAGAAGAAGAAAUCUAUUGAAUCCCAAAGAAAGCAGGAUGAAAUGCAUGUGUGGCAAACAAAAGUCUAUUAACCAAAAAUUAUUUGAUAUCUUGGGCAAUAAAAGCAAGUUUCUGUGUGCCUUUGUAUUGGCCUUACCUUUCAUGUAAUGUUAUUCUCUUGUCUGGCAAUAGCAGUAAGGCCUGUGGUAUGAUUAUCCAAGCAAAUGUGUAAAUGUAGUCAGAUGUAGCUUCAUGUCAUCUAAUAAAGUAUAGAUCUUUUGGCAUAAUGACCUACAUCUUGUGGGAAUUAAUGCAGACAUAKUUUUUUACAGAUACAAUUUAAGACAAACUUUGGUAAGAUUGGUCGUAACAUUUUUUUACAAGCGUAUAACUUACAUUUGAUUGACUUUGUUUUUUUCACCAUUUGUUUCAAACUGUAUUGUCCAAUAAGAGGAGCCUGGUCUCACCAUACACGGUCAUAUAUUUUUGUUACAUCUGAAUAAACUAUCGUUCAUA